rnacentral:rRNA from 1 species
GACGAACGCUGGCGGCGUGCUUAACACAUGCAUGUCGAGCGGUAAGGCCCUUUCGGGGGUACACGAGCGGCGAACGGGUGAGUAACACGUGGGUGACCUGCCCUCAGCUCUGGGAUAAGCCUGGGAAACCGGGUCUAAUACUGGAUAUGACUCCAUGACGCAUGUUGUGGGGUGGAAAGCCUUGUGCGGCUGAGGAUGGGCCCGCGGCCUAUCAGCUUGUUGGUGGGGUGAUGGCCUACCAAGGCGACGACGGGUAGCCGGCCUGAGAGGGCGACCGGCCACACUGGGACUGAGACACGGCCCAGACUCCUACGGGAGGCAGCAGUGGGGAAUCUUGCGCAAUGGGCGAAAGCCUGACGC